UCCGGUGGUUAUUGCGGUGAGGUCACACCUGUUCCCAUUCCGAACACAGAAGUUAAGCUCACUGGCGUCGACAAUACUUGGCUGGCAACGGCCCGGGAAGAUAGAUUGCUGCCGGAU
rnacentral:rRNA from 1 species